rnacentral:rRNA from 1 species
GACGAACGCUGGCGGCGUGCUUAACACAUGCAAGUCGAACGGAAAGGCCCUGCUUUUGUGGGGUGCUCGAGUGGCGAACGGGUGAGUAACACGUGAGUAACCUGCCCUUGACUUUGGGAUAACUUCAGGAAACUGGGGCUAAUACCGGAUAGGAGCUCCUGCUGCAUGGUGGGGGUUGGAAAGUUUCGGCGGUUGGGGAUGGACUCGCGGCUUAUCAGCUUGUUGGUGGGGUAGUGGCUUACCAAGGCUUUGACGGGUAGCCGGCCUGAGAGGGUGACCGGCCACAUUGGGCCUGAGAUACGGCCCAGACUCCUACGGGAGGCAGCAGUGGGGAAUAUUGCACAAUGGGCGGAAGCCUGAUGCAGCAACGCCGCGUGCGGGAUGACGGCCUUCGGGUUGUAAACCGCUUUCGCCUGUGACGAAGCGUGAGUGACGGUAAUGGGUAAAGAAGUACCGGCUAACUACGUG